rnacentral:rRNA from 1 species
UACAGAGGUGGCAAGCGUUGUUCGGAAUUACUGGGAGUAAAGGGCGCGUCGGCGGCCUCCUACGUCAGACGUGAAAUCCCCCGGCUUAACCUGGGAACUGCGUCUGAUACUGGGAGGCUAGAGUGCGGGAGAGGGAUGCGGAAUUCCAGGUGUAGCGGUGAAAUGCGUAGAUAUCUGGAGGAACACCGGUGGCGAAGGCGGCAUCCUGGACCAACACUGACGCUGAGGAGCGAAAGCCAGGGGAGCAAACGGG